UCCCUGAUGGCUCAGUUGGUAAAGAAUCUACCUGCAAUGCAGGAGGCCCUGGUUCAAUUCCUGGGUUGGGAA
rnacentral:tRNA from 1 species